GACGUAGGGCGCGAGCGUUGUCCGGAUUUAUUGGGCGUAAAGAGCUCGUAGGCGGCUUGUCACGUCGAUUGUGAAAGCCCGGGGCUUAACUCCGGGUCUGCAGUCGAUACGGGCUAGCUAGAGUGUGGUAGGGGAGAUCGGAAUUCCUGGUGUAGCGGUGAAAUGCGCAGAUAUCAGGAGGAACACCGGUGGCGAAGGCGGAUCUCUGGGCCAUUACUGACGCUGAGGAGCGAAAGCGUGGGGAGCGAACAGG
rnacentral:rRNA from 1 species